GUCUGUGGCAGCAGUGAUAAGGGAACUUCUCUGGCAACUUCUCCAGCAGACCACUAAGACUGACCAAUCAUAAUCUUUUUUCUUGUUGUUGUUUGUUUUUAAAAACACUGCACCAGCAAAGGAAGUCAACGUGACAGGUUGAUUCUCUGUCCUAGACGCUCUCAUGUGGGGAAGGGGAAAGUUAGAACCCUCUUCACAACGUUUGGACUACCGAGGAACACAGACUUAAUUUAAACUGAAGCUGGUGAGGCUGAAAGUCUUUUGGAUUAAAGUGUGAAACAAAGAAGAGUUUGAGUUUGAGUUUGGCACUGACAUGUCUGCUCAGGCUGCUGAAAGAAUAAGCCUCAAGAGAAAAGAGACUUUACUGCAGAGACAAAAUGGCUUCUAAAUUUGGAGAGGAUCUCAUGUAUUGCAUGUGCUGUGAAAUCCACAAGGAUCCUGUCCUGUUGCCCUGCUCUCACAGUGUGUGCAAAGCCUGUCUGCAGCGGUUCUGGGAUAGCAAAGGACACAGAGAAUGUCCCUACUGCAGGAGGAAGUGCUCAAAAGACAUCAGUCAACCUAACGUGGCUCUAAGCAACUUGUUACAGGAGAGGAGUCUGAGAGCUUCAGCAGGACUCAGGAUCAUGGAUGGUGCACAUUCUGGUGAUCCGACCUUGGAGGGAGCCAUUGCCAGAGCCAGAGAAGCGUCAACCUGUUUGAUACUGUAGUUUGUGAGUGCCAUCAGGGGUGUUCUGAUGAGGAAGCGGCGCCUAUGAGAGGCACAACAACCACCAUAGACAGUGCCACUGCUGGCCAUUUCGGUGCCCUGCAAGCUUCUUUGUGCUCUACCCACUGUUGUUCUACAUUGUGGUCUUAAUAACUUGCCAAACAUUUGAUUAUAAAGAUUCAAAUAUGUCCUGCCAUACUAUUAAUGUUUAUAUAAUAUUUAAUAAAUCUCUUCCAUGCUUGCAGGGCUUUCCUUCCAUUUUAUAUGUGUAUAUGUGAUAUUGAAGUCCUUUUUUCAAGCUUCAUCUAUUUUUUUAAUGAGUAUAAUUACCCACCUGUGCCUCAAUCAAACAUGUAUAAACGUUACCAAUAGUUUCUCUUUCUCUCCAGUAUUCAUGAAAAGCCUCUCUAUUGUUGUUGAUUCAGAAUUAAAAAUCAUAUCAUUCUGUGA